rnacentral:rRNA from 1 species
GAUGAACGCUGGCGGCGUGCCUAAUACAUGCAAGUCGAGCGAACAGACGAGGAGCUUGCUCCUCUGACGUUAGCGGCGGACGGGUGAGUAACACGUGGAUAACCUACCUAUAAGACUGGGAUAACUUCGGGAAACCGGAGCUAAUACCGGAUAAUAUAUUGAACCGCAUGGUUCAAUAGUGAAAGACGGUUUUGCUGUCACUUAUAGAUGGAUCCGCGCCGCAUUAGCUAGUUGGUAAGGUAACGGCUUACCAAGGCAACGAUGCGUAGCCGACCUGAGAGGGUGAUCGGCCACACUGGAACGGAGACACGGUCCAGACUCCUGCGGGAGGCCGCAGUAGGGAAUCUGCCGCAGUGGGCGAAAGCCUGACGGAGCAACGCCGCGUGAGUGAUGAAGGUCUUCGGAUCGUAAAACUCUGUUAUUAGGGAAGAACAAAUGUGUAAGUAACUAUGCACGUCUUGACGGUACCUAAUCAGAAAGCCACGGCUAACUACGUG